UGCGUGGUCGACCUAAAACCUUCAAGUC
rnacentral:piRNA from 1 species